UGGAGGCAGCAGUGGGGAAUAUUGCGCAAUGGGCGAAAGCCUGACGCAGCGACGCCGCGUGGGUGACGAAGGCCUUCGGGUCGUAAAACCCUGUCGGGUGGAACGAAUCUCCGCCCUUUAAAUAGGGGGGCGGAUUGACGGUACCACCGAAGGAAGACCCGGCUAACUACGUGCCAGCAGCCGCGGUAAUACGUAGGGGGCGAGCGUUGUUCGGAUUUACUGGGCGUAAAGAGCGCGUAGGCGGUUCGAUAAGUCGGAGGUGAAAUCCCUCGGCUCAACCGAGGAUCCGCGUCCGAUACUGUCGAACUUGAGUGCAGGAGAGGAGAGCGGAAUUCCGAGUGUAGCGGUGAAAUGCGUAGAUAUUCGGAGGAACACCGGUGGCGAAGGCGGCUCUCUGGACUGCCACUGACGCUGAGGCGCGAAAGCUAGGGGAGCAAACGGGAUUAGAUACCCCGGUAGG
rnacentral:rRNA from 1 species